GACGAACGCUGGCGGCGUGCUUAACACAUGCAAGUCGAACGCUGAAGCUCAGCUUUUGUUGGGUGGAUGAGUGGCGAACGGGUGAGUAACACGUGAGUAACCUGCCCCCUUCUUUGGGAUAACGCCCGGAAACGGGUGCUAAUACUGGAUAUUCACUGGUCUUCGCAUGGGGGUUGGUGGAAAGGGUUUUUCUGGUGGGGGAUGGGCUCGCGGCCUAUCAGCUUGUUGGUGGGGUGAUGGCCUACCAAGGCUUUGACGGGUAGCCGGCCUGAGAGGGUGACCGGUCACAUUGGGACUGAGAUACGGCCCAGACUCCUACGGGAGGCAGCAGUGGGGAAUAUGGCACAAUGGGCGCAAGCCUGAUGCAGCGACGCCGCGUGAGGGAUGAAGGCCUUCGGGUUGUGAACCUCUUUCGCUCAUGGUCAAGCCGCAACAAUGGUUGUGGUGAGGGUAGUGGGUAAAGAAGCGCCGGCUAACUACGUG
rnacentral:rRNA from 1 species